GGGAGUCCAAGGGUGACUUUCGGGACAUGUAUCGAUCUGCAUGUCUUGAGGAAGCUCCCUCCUCCCUAGGCAAGUGGCGUGGCGUAAGUCACCGGGUGAGAACCCGGCUCUAGGAGCAGAAACGAGACGUCUUCACGCCAAAUGACGAUGAUAUGGCGCUUAUUAGUCUCUUACCGUUGAGGAAGCGUGAAGGAGCGUUGAAACGGCCUAACGCCGCGGAGCAAGCCUAAAUAGGGCUCCAAUGAAUGUCUAUGAGGGCCGGGUAAGGCGCUUAGUUGAAUGUUGCUGAGCGGGAUGUCUGUCGCCUUGGGCGAAAGGCCCCGCGGAACAGAAGAGGGGCUACUCUGGAUACCC
rnacentral:RNase_P_RNA from 1 species